UAAGGGAUAUUGGUCAAUGGGGCGGGAGCCUGAACCAGCCAUGCCGCGUGAGGGAAUGAGGCCCUACGGGUCGUAAACCUCUUUUGCCGGGGGAUAACGGGCGCCACGUGUGGCGCCGUGAAGGUACCCGGAGAAAAAGCAUCGGCUAACUCCGUGCCAGCAGCCGCGGUAAUACGGAGGAUGCGAGCGUUAUCCGGAUUUAUUGGGUUUAAAGGGUGCGCAGGCGGCGCGCCAAGUCAGCGGUCAAAGUUCCGGGCUCAACCCGGUGUCGCCGUUGAAACUGGCGUGCUCGAGUGCGUGCGAGGAAGGCGGAAUGCGUUGUGUAGCGGUGAAAUGCAUAGAUAUGACGCAGAACUCCGAUUGCGAAGGCAGCUUUCCAGCGCGCUACUGACGCUGAGGCACGAAAGCGUGGGGAUCGAACAGGAUUAGAUACCCUGGUAGU
rnacentral:rRNA from 1 species